AUUGAACGCUGGCGGCAUGCCUAACACAUGCAAGUCGAACGAGUGGCGGACGGGUGAGUAAUGUCUGGGAAACUGCCCGAUUGAGGGGGGUAACUACUGGAAACGGUAGCUAAUACCGCCUACCAUCUGACUUGCCCAUAUGGGAUUGUCGUGUGGGUUAGGUAACGGCUCACCUAGGCGACGAUCCCUAGCUGGUCGGAGAGGAUGACCAGCCACACUGGAACUGAGACACGGUCCAGACGCCUACGGGAGGCAGCAGUGGGGAAUAUUGCACAAUGGGCGCAAGCCUGAUGAAGCAAUGCCGGGUGUAUGAAGAAGGCCUUCGGGUUGUAAAGUACUUUCAGCGGGGAGGCGUUACCCGAAGAAGAAGCACCGGCUAACUCCGUGCCAGCAGCCGCGGUAAUAC
rnacentral:rRNA from 1 species